UUCCUGUAUGAUGGUUUCACACAGCUCAGUGCAGUCGUCUGGUGAAGUCACUGCAGAAGCUCUGUUCACACACUUAUCCGGCCCCAGGACACAACCUGAUCAAACAACUAUCGGAUGAAGGACAAACAACUGUAUUUAACACCAAGGAAACGUUUUACGAUGAAAUUGGCCCCAUCUCCCAACUGUUCACUGUCCCUACAUCAGGACUGAGGUCAACACUGUUGAACAACAUCACAGCCUCUUGAAUGACAAAUCCUCAGUGUCAUCAGCAUCCGAUUCCAUCAACAAGGCACCAUUUGUUAGGCCAGUGAAAUUCCACUUCAUGGAUUUAUGGACUGUGGAAGACCCAGCCUUUAGUAAAUGCCUCUGACAGCAUUUUGACCUUGUCGGCCAACUGUGAAACAGCUCCAACAGGCCUAAGCUGUCACAGAAAGGUUAUGAACUUUGUUUCAGCCAGACUACCAGAACAGAGGGUGGUGCGGUCUGCACAACGCAUCACCGGGGGCAAACUACCUGCUCUCCAGGAUAGCCACAGCACCUGAUGUCACAGGAAGACCAAAAAGAACAUCAAGGACAACAACC